rnacentral:rRNA from 1 species
GGAAUAUUGCACAAUGGGCGCAAGCCUGAUGCAGCCAUGCCGCGUGUAUGAAGAAGGCCUUCGGGGUGUAAAGUACUUUCAGCGAGGAGGAAGGCGAUAAGGGUAAUAACUUUGUCGAUUGACGUUACUCGCAGAAGAAGCACCGGCUAACGCCGUGCCAGCAGCCGCGGUAAGACGGAGGGUGCAAGCGUUAAUCGGAAUUACUGGGCGUAAAGCGCACGCAGGCGGUCUGUCAAGUCGGAUGUGAAAUCCCCGGGCUCAACCUGGGAACUGCAUUCGAAACUGGCAGGCUAGAGUCUUGUAGAGGGGGGUAGAAUUCCAGGUGUAGCGGUGAAAUGCGUAGAGAUCUGGAGGAAUACCGGUGGCGAAGGCGGCCCCCUGGACAAAGACUGACGCUCAGGCGCGAAAGCGUGGGGAGCAA